UUUCAAUUUUGUCCUUCUUUUGUCAACCCAUGUUCCCCCCCUCUCUCUUUGCCUCGGUUUUGUGCUUGCUGACCAUGUUGAAGUUUGAAAAGAAAAUGAAAACCCUUGUAGCGUUAUGCACCAUUUCAUUGCUGUUGGUCCAAGAAGCAAUUUGUUCUGCUAUGAGGCAACAGAUGCUAACACAAUUUAAAGCAAAGCUUCAGGAAAUGGCAGUCACCAAACCCCCCUUCCCAUUUUCAUCCCCGAAAAAGGAUGGGAGAGUAUUUUAUCCAAUUGGGUAUGGAGCAGACCCAACAGGGGCUCAAGAGAGCAGCGAUGGUAUAUUGAAAGCUUUGGGUGAUGCCUUGAAAGUGCAAAAUGGGAGUGAAUUGCUUCCUGGAAUCAAUGACUUGGGUGGAGUUGUCAUAGAUUUUCAAGGUGGAAACUAUAAGAUCAGCAAGCCGAUCAGAUUUCCCGCCGCUGCUGCUGGCAAUCUUGUGAUGAAAGGAGGGACUCUACGAGCAUCAAAUACAUUUCCCGGCAACCGGCACAUUAUUGAAUUAUGGUCACCAAAUUCUGAGCUAAUUAAGGAAAUAGAUUCCUACAAUUUUAAUCAUCUCAUCAACAUCAAUCAACAAGACAAUGUUGGCAUCUACUAUGAAGACAUUACUUUCCGAGACAUCCUCUUUGACUCGAGUUUUCGGGGAGGAGGAAUCCUCAUUAUCGAUGCAGCUCGAAUCCGGAUAGAUAAUUGCUUCUUUCUCCACUUCACAACACAAGGAAUUCUAGUUGAGAGAGGCCAUGAGACAUUCAUAUCAAGCAGCUUUCUAGGACAACAUUCCACGGUUGGCAAAGAUAAAGGCGAAAAAGAUUACUCAGGAACUGCUAUUGAUAUUGCAGGUAAUGAUAAUUCAAUCAACAAUAUUGUAAUUUUCUCAGCAGCCAUUGGAAUUUUAUUGAGGGGUCAGGCUAAUUUGGUCACAGGAGUACAUUGUUAUAACAAGGCAACGUCUUUUGGUGGUGUAGGAAUUCUAGUGAAAAUUGGUGCAUCAUUGACUAGAUUAGACAAUUGCUACAUGGAUUUCACAGCUAUAGUUAUAGAGGAUCCAUCUCAAGUUCAUGUUACUAAUGGAUUAUUUUUUGGAGACGCCAAUGUAGUGUUGAAAUCCAUCAAGGGCCAAAUUUCUGGGAUGAAUAUUGUGAAUAACAUGUUUAAUGGAGAUCCUAGAUUUAUGAAUCCAGUGGUGAAAUUAGAUGGGGAUUUUACUAGCAUUGAUCAAGUUGUGAUCAAUAAGAACAAUGUUCAGGGCAUGAGCAUGAAAUCAACCGAAGGGAAGUUAAUGGUGACCGGAAAUGGAACGAAAUGGGUGGCUGAUUUUUCGUUGGUGUUGGUAUUUCCCAACCGGAUUAGACAUUUUCAGUACUCAUUUUAUGUACUGGAUGUGCCCGCUGCUGGACUUGUGACGCACGCAGUGACCAAUGUAUCUAAUAAUUUAGUAGUUGUGGAAAGCAACACUGCUGUUAAUGGGAUUGUCUCUGUAGCUGUUGAUCAGUAGAAUCCUACUGGAGAAGAAUAAAAUCUAAUUCAACCUUUAACCUAUGAUUAUUGAUUUCAUUUUAGAUUAUGUUUGAUAAAACGUGAUCAAAUUAUAAAUGUAAUUCUAGUUAUAUUAAACGAG
rnacentral:misc_RNA from 1 species